rnacentral:rRNA from 1 species
UACGUAGGUGACAAGCGUUGUCCGGAUUUACUGGGCGUAAAGAGCGCGCAGGCGGUCGAUCAAGUCGAGUGUGAAAGCCCCCGGCUCAACUGGGGAGGGUCAUUCGAUACUGAUCGACUCGAAGGCAGGAGAGGGUAGUGGAAUUCCCGGUGUAGUGGUGAAAUGCGUAGAUAUCCGGAGGAACACCAGUGGCGAAAGCGGCCACCUGGACUGCACCUGACGCUGACACGCGAAAGCUAGGGGAGCGAACGGG